AUCGCUUCUCGGCCUUUUGGCUAAGAUCAAGUGUAGUAUCUGUUCUUAUCAGUUUAAUAUCUGAUACGUCCCCUACCCGGGGACCAUAUAUUAAAUUGAUUUUUGGAGCAGGGAGAUGGAAUAGGGGCUUGCUCCGUCCACUCCACGCAUCCACCCAGUGUUGCAGUACUUCUGGGAACGGUGCACCCCCU
rnacentral:snRNA from 1 species